AAAUUAUUUCUCCAUCCCAAAGAAUCACUUGAUUAUGAACUAAAAUGAAAACUUCUGACUUCCAUGGUCUGAAGCAAAGCUGCUGAUCACGCAAUAAUCUUUUCCCUUAGGAAGUUAAAAUGGUCUUCUCUCCAUUCUUUUCCAGAGAGCUAUUCUUCAUAGAAUCUAACCAGUAACAUGUUAAUUAUUGUCACCUCUCUUCAAUGAAAAAUAACCUCUCCUUUGUAAAUGUGGUAAGCCAGGUUAAAUAACAAAUUUCAUUGUGAUUGAAGGGCAUCUGUACACUUUCUCUAUGAGUCUUCCAGGAGAAAAUGCUAUUACUGUCUCUAUUUUAUGUGUGGGGAAAUUGAGACAGCUAGAGGUUAAAUGAUUUAUCUACUAUCAAAAAGUGAGCUUAUCACAAAGAAGGAGAGGAAUCUGAGCAUAAUCUUACAUGUAUAUUAGAUUUAAAGAAAUCAGAUGUCAAAAACUUCAGACAAAAGACAGAUAUUUACAAUGAAUAAGAAUAAGAAGAUGGAAAGAAAUCCAGAAAAAAGAAUGACCUGUGCACUGGAAAUAACAAAAAUAUCUAAGAGGAACCUGAUACCAAAAAAUAAAAAGGUGUAA
rnacentral:lncRNA from 1 species